rnacentral:rRNA from 1 species
UACGUAGGGUGCAAGCGUUGUCCGGAAUUAUUGGGCGUAAAGAGCUCGUAGGCGGUCUGUCGCGUCUGCUGUGAAAACCCGGGGCUCAACCCCGGGCUUGCAGUGGAUACGGGCAGACUAGAGUUCGGUAGGGGAGACUGGAAUUCCUGGUGUAGCGGUGAAAUGCGUAGAUAUCGGGAGGAAUACCUAUGGCGAAAGCAGGCUACUGGACCGUCACUGACUCUGAUCUGCGAAAGCUAGGGGAGCAAACGGG